rnacentral:misc_RNA from 1 species
GAUGAAGAACGCAGCGAAAUGCGAUAAGUAGUGUGAAUUGCAGAAUUCAGUGAAUCAUCGAAUCUUUGAACGCACAUUGCGCCCCUUGGUAUUCCAUGGGACAUGCCAGUUCGAGCGUCAUUUGUACCUUCAAGCUUUGCUUGGUGUUGGGUGUUUGUCUCGCCUUUGCGUGUAGACUCGCCUUAAAAUAAUUGGCAGCCGGCGUAUUGAUUUCGGAGCGCAGUACAUCUCGCGCUUUGCACUCAUAACGACAGCGUCCAAAAGUACAUUUUACACUCUUGACCUCGGAUCAGGUAGGGAUACCCGCUGAACUUAAGCAUAUCAAUAAGCGGAGGA